rnacentral:rRNA from 1 species
GACGAACGCUGGCGGCGUGCUUAACACAUGCAAGUCGAACGAUGACGACCGAGCUUGCUCGGUCUGAUUAGUGGCGAACGGGUGAGUAACACGUGAGCAACCUGCCCUUCACUCUGGGAUAACCUCGGGAAAUCGGGGCUAAUACCGGAUAUGAGCUCCUGUCGCAUGGCGGGUGUUGGAAAGUUUUUCGGUGAAGGAUGGGCUCGCGGCCUAUCAGUUUGUUGGUGAGGUAGUGGCUCACCAAGGCGAUGACGGGUAGCCGGCCUGAGAGGGCGACCGACCACACUGGGACUGAGACACGGCCCAGACUCCUACGGGAGGCAGCAGUGGGGAAUAUUGCACAAUGGGCGAAAGCCUGAUGCAGCGACGCCGCGUGAGGGAUGACGGCCUUCGGGUUGUAAACCUCUUUCAGCAGGGAAGAAGCGAAAGUGACGGUACCUGCAGAAGAAGCGCCGGCUAACUACGUG